rnacentral:rRNA from 1 species
UACGUAGGGUGCAAGCGUUGUCCGGAAUUUAUUGGGCGUAAAGAGCGUGUAGGCGGCCCGAUUAGUCCGCUGUGAAAGUCCAGGGCUCAACCCUGGAAUGCCGGUGGAUACUGUCGGGCUAGAGUCCGGAAGGGGCGAGUGGAAUUCCUGGUGUAGCGGUGAAAUGCGCAGAUAUCAGGAGGAACACCAAUGGCGAAGGCAGCUCGCUGGGACGUGACUGACGCUGAGACGCGAAAAGCGUGGGGGAGCGAACAGG